rnacentral:rRNA from 1 species
CCUACGGGGGGCUGCAGUGGGGAAUAUUGCACAAUGGGCGAAAGCCUGAUGCAGCAACGCCGCGUGAGUGAUGAAGGUCUUCGGAUUGUAAAGCUCUGUCUUUUGGGACGAUAAUGACGGUACCAAAGGAGGAAGCCACGGCUAACUACGUGCCAGCAGCCGCGGUAAUACGUAGGUGGCAAGCGUUGUCCGGAUUUACUGGGCGUAAAGGGUGCGUAGGUGGAUAUUUAAGUCAGAUGUGAAAUCCCUGGGCUCAACCCAGGACCUGCAUUUGAUACUGGAUAUCUUGAGUGCGGGAGAGGUAAGUGGAAUUCCUAGUGUAGCGGUGAAAUGCGUAGAGAUUAGGAAGAACACCAGUGGCGAAGGCGACUUACUGGACUGUAACUGACACUGAGGCACGAAAGCGUGGGUAGCAAACAGGAUUAGAUACCCCAGUAGUC